rnacentral:tRNA from 1 species
GGGGUUGUGGCUCAGUGGUAAAGCAUUCCCCUCGCAUGUGUGAGGCCCUGAGUUCAAUCCUCAGCACUACA